rnacentral:rRNA from 1 species
CACAGAAGGAGCAAGCAUUAAGCAUAUGGACUAGGCGGACAGCAUGUUAAGGCGUUAUGGUUUAUUAUUAAUUAUUUACCCAAAGAAACGAAAGGUAAGGGAAUUUUCAGUGUACCAGUCAAAAUGGGCAUAACUUGGAAGGAACGUCAGUAGGCGUAGGCACUUACCUUGUGUAAACUUAAGCCCUCACAUGGAAGCUGGAGUAGCAAACGGG